AUUGAACGCUGGUGGCAGGCCUAACACAUGCAAGUCGAACGGUAACAGGAAGCAGCUUGCUGCUUCGCUGACGAGUGGCGGACGGGUGAGUAAUGUCUGGGAAGCUGCCUGAUGGAGGGGGAUAACUACUGGAAACGGUAGCUAAUACCGCAUAAUGUCGCAAGACCAAAGAGGGGGACCUUCGGGCCUCUUGCCAUCGGAUGUGCCCAGAUGGGAUUAGCUUGUUGGUGGGGUAACGGCUCACCAAGGCGACGAUCCCUAGCUGGUCUGAGAGGAUGACCAGCCACACUGGAACUGAGACACGGUCCAGACUCCUACGGGAGGCAGCAGUGGGGAAUAUUGCACAAUGGGCGCAAGCCUGAUGCAGCCAUGCCGCGUGUAUGAAGAAGGCCUUCGGGUUGUAAAGUACUUUCAGCGGGGAGGAAGGGAGUAAAGUUAAUACCUUUGCUCAUUGACGUUACCCGCAGAAGAAGCACCGGCUAACUCCGUG
rnacentral:rRNA from 1 species